AAAUUGAAGAGUUUGAUCAUGGCUCAGAUUGAACGCUGGCGGCAGGCCUAACACAUGCAAGUCGAACGGUAACAGGAAGCAGCUUGCUGCUUCGCUGACGAGUGGCGGACGGGUGAGUAAUGUCUGGGAAACUGCCUGAUGGAGGGGGAUAACUACUGGAAACGGUGGCUAAUACCGCAUAACGUCGCAAGACCAAAGAGGGGGACCUUCGGGCCUCUUGCCAUCAGAUGUGCCCAGAUGGGAUUAGCUUGUUGGUGAGGUAACGGCUCACCAAGGCGACGAUCCCUAGCUGGUCUGAGAGGAUGACCAGCCACACUGGAACUGAGACACGGUCCAGACUCCUACGGGAGGCAGCAGUGGGGAAUAUUGCACAAUGGGCGCAAGCCUGAUGCAGCCAUGCCGCGUGUAUGAAGAAGGCCUUCGGGUUGUAAAGUACUUUCAGCGGGGAGGAAGGUGUUGCGGUUAAUAACCGCAGCAAUUGACGUUACCCGCAGAAGAAGCACCGGCUAACUCCGUGCCAGCAGCCGCGGUAAUACGGAGGGUGCAAGCGUUAAUCGGAAUUACUGGGCGUAAAGCGCACGCAGGCGGUCUGUCAAGUCGGAUGUGAAAU
rnacentral:rRNA from 2 species